rnacentral:rRNA from 1 species
GAUGAACGCUGGCGGCGUGCUUAACACAUGCAAGUCGAACGAACCUUCGGGUUAGUGGCGGACGGGUGAGUAACGCGUGAGAAUCUGCCCUCAGGAGGGGGAUAACGGUUGGAAACGACCGCUAAUACCCCAUAUGCCGAUAGGUGAAAUGAAUUUCGCCUGAGGAUGAGCUCGCGUCUGAUUAGCUUGUUGGUGAGGUAAUGGCUCACCAAGGCUUCGAUCAGUAGCUGGUCUGAGAGGAUGAUCAGCCACACUGGGACUGAGACACGGCCCAGACUCCUACGGGAGGCAGCAGUGGGGAAUUUUCCGCAAUGGGCGAAAGCCUGACGGAGCAACGCCGCGUGAGGGACGAAGGCCUCUGGGCUGUAAACCUCUUUUCUCAAGGAAGAAGAUAUGACGGUACUUGAGGAAUAAGCCACGGCUAAUUCCGUGCCAGCAGCCGCGGUAAUACGGGAGUGGCAAGCGUUAUCCGGAAUUAUUGGGCGUAAAGCGUCCGCAGGCGGCCUUUCAAGUCUGCUGUUAAAGCGUGGAGCUUAACUCCAUUAUGGCAGUGGAAACUGAUCGGCUUGAGUAUGGUAGGGGCAGAGGGAAUUCCCGGUGUAGCGGUGAAAUGCGUAGAUAUCGGGAAGAACACCAGUGGCGAAGGCGCUCUGCUGGGCCAUUACUGACGCUCAUGGACGAAAGCCAGGGGAGCGAAAGGGAUUAGAUACCCCUGUAGUCCUGGCCGUAAACGAUGAACACUAGGUGUCGGGGGAAUCGACCCCUUCGGUGUCGUAGCUAACGCGUUAAGUGUUCCGCCUGGGGAGUACGCACGCAAGUGUGAAACUCAAAGGAAUUGACGGGGGCCCGCACAAGCGGUGGAGUAUGUGGUUUAAUUCGAUGCAACGCGAAGAACCUUACCAGGGUUUGACAUCCUGAGAACCUCUUAGAAAUUAGAGGGUGCCUUCGGGAAUUCAGUGACAGGUGGUGCAUGGCUGUCGUCAGCUCGUGUCGUGAGAUGUUGGGUUAAGUCCCGCAACGAGCGCAACCCACGUUUUUAGUUGCCAGCAUUUAGUUGGGCACUCUAGAAAGACCGCCGGUGAUAAACCGGAGGAAGGUGUGGAUGACGUCAAGUCAUCAUGCCCCUUACACCCUGGGCUACACACGUACUACAAUGCUACGGACAAAGGGCAGCAAACUCGCGAGAGCUAGCAAAUCCCAUAAACCGUGGCUCAGUUCAGAUCGUAGGCUGCAACUCGCCUACGUGAAGUAGGAAUCGCUAGUAAUCGCAGGUCAGCAUACUGCGGUGAAUACGUUCCCGGGCCUUGUACACACCGCCCGUCACACCAUGGAAGUUGGCCAUGCCCGAAGUCGUUACUCCAACCCUUGUGGAGGAGGACGCCGAAGGUGGGGCUAAUGACUGGGGUGAAGUCGUAACAAGGUAGCCGUACCGGAAGG